GCGUCUCUGACCAGAGCCAACUCCGAGCUGAGCCUCCGGAGCCAGCAGCUGGACACUCGCCUGGCCGUGCUAGAGGGCGAGCUGAACAAGGCCAAUGAGGAGGGAAAAAACAGCCAAAAGUCAACUCUGAAACUUCAGGAGGAGCUGGCAUCCAGUCAGUCUGAGUGUGACCGACUCCAGUCCGAGCUGCAGCAGGUGCUCCUCCAGCUGGACUCGCACGUCAGGAAGUACAAUGAAAAGCAGUCCCAACACAAGACCAAGCUGCGUCAGGCCAAACUGAUCUACCUGAAGGCCACAGCUCAGAGAGACCGACUCAUUCAGAAACUGCAGAAUGACCUGCUGCUCGCCUCCAGCCUCUGCCACAAGGAGAAGGAGCGCACGGACACGGUGAUGCAGGAGAACGAAAAACUGCUGGAGCAGAGGCGAGAGCUGCUGGUGAGGAUCAGUGAAGCCGAGGAGAUGGGGAGCAAAGGCAUGAGGACGGCGUCCACCAUUGAGCACAAAGUCACCGUCUUGGAGGGUGAGAACCGGCAGCUGCAGGAGCGGACUCUGAAACUGUCCAAUCAGGUGUGUUCUCUGGAGCGCGCCCUGAGGAACGCACACUCGCUGUAUAACUAUGAGGUAUGGCCGCUAACGGUUCAUUCAGUUAUUGUGUACUAA
rnacentral:lncRNA from 1 species